rnacentral:rRNA from 1 species
UUUUCUGCCACCGAAUACAUUAGCAUGGGAUAAUGGAAUAGGACCCUGUCCUCCUAUUUUCAGUUGGUUUUGGCAGCGCGAGGACUAGGGUAAUGAUUAAUAGGGAUAGUUGGGGGCAUUAAUAUUUAAUUGUCAGAGGUGAAAUUCUUGGAUUUAUGAAAGAUUAACUUCUGCGAAAGCAUCUGCCAAGGAUGUUUUCAUUAAUCAAGAACGAAAGUUAGGGGAUCGAAGACGAUCAGAUACCGUCGUAGUCUUAACCAUAAACGAUGCCGACCAGCGAUUAGGAGACGUUGAAUACAAAACACCACCAUCGGCGCGGUCGUCCUUGGCGUCGGUCCUUCACGGGGCCGGCGCGAGGGCGGCUUAGCCCGGUGGCACCGGUGAAUGACUCCCCUAGCAGCUUGUGAGA